ACCUGGCUGAAGUCGGACGCUUAACCGACUGCGCCACCCAGGCGCCCCUAAACUUGAGUCUUAAAGGCAAUUUAUGCAGAUGUCAACUGUUGUGUCUUUCCCAGUGGGAGAAAUGAGGGUCUCCGAACCUACCAGUUGGAGCCAUGACCGAACUUGAGGUCUGACCACGAAAAGCAACACAGAAACUCUUUGUACCCAUGCAAGGAACUCUACGCUAUCAUGUCACAGCCUGUCACAGCCUUGUCAUUUUACAGAAGGCAGUGUGACAUAAUGGUUAAAGAUGAGGUUCUGUGUCCAGGCUGCCUUGAGUCCACAUCCCAGCUGCCCCACCAAGUAGCUCCGUGUCCUUGGGCGAAGUCAUUUAGCAGCUCUGUGACUCUGUUUCCUCAUCAGGACAGUUGGGAUCAUUACAGCACCUACCUCCGGAUUACUUGCAGUGCUGUGAGAAUCAUGUUCUUAGUGUCCUAAGAACAAUUCCUGUAACAUAAUAAGUGCCAGGGGAGUGUUCCCUGCUUGUACUUCUUCCCUCGUAUUCUGCUUCAUUGUGAGUAUAUCUAAACAUGUCAGCUAGAAUUCCUUUCUGUUUUCAAUUAAUUUAUUUAUUUUGUUGAAGUACAGCUGCCAUACAAUCUGCUGAAGCUCUGACACUAAUCUAGUAUUCAAGGAAAGGCCUUUGGAACAUUACCACGGGUCCAGGUGGUGCUGUCUAUGCUGCAGAUUUCAGGCUACGUGCAGACGCAUGUCAAAAUGAGACUCUGGGGUAGAAAAAUCAGCUAAAAACCCUGUCCUUGGGCUGGAAGUGUCUUUAAGUCCAUCAUCUUGUUUUGCCUCAAAGUGAAAAGUAGCUACUGAUUGUCCUGAUGUGAUUAUUUAGUUGUAUUUGAGAACCUGAAUUAAAACACCCAGGCUCCUUCUGUGCUCAGCUGAAUAACCUGGUGGGGGCAGUGGUUCUUCUAAAUCUUUUUCUUGGGAGUUAGUCUCCUCUGUCUAAUCCUCUUUGCUUGUGCCCCUGGAUGCUUUCCUGAAAGUGCUCUUAAAUUGUCAGGCACGCCGGAACGGUCCUGGAUUUCGCUGACAAGUUUGACUUGCUUUCGAGUUGCUAGCUUUCUUGGGGAACCAAGGGGCAGAAUUUAAUACCCACCUGGAGCUCCAUAUGCUUCAAGGAUUUCUCCCACACUAUCCCACAAACCAAAGUUUACCAAGACAGGCACACAGCCUAGAGAGAGGUGGGGGGCACACAACCGGAUUAGGGGGGGAUUAUGCCCCACCCCCAUCCUUCCUGAAUUGAGGCUGGAUUAGUCACUGGGGCCUGACGCUGAAACACGUUUAGAAGGUUUAAAUUACCAAACCAGGGCAGGGGGGCGGGGGCGGGGGCGGGGCGGGGGGGAAAGGAGGAGGACUCUAGCAGACAUCUGGGUCUGUAAGUCACUUUCAGGAAAAGAGAAUCCUAGUGCAGAAUGGAGACAUGGGAAGAAAAAUUUGCAAGAUGAACCCCCUCUGAAUUGUGACUUCCUUGCAUUACGGUUGCUGCAGGGCACCAAGAAGAGGUAAAAACACCAAAGGAUGAAUCUCUUUAUCACUCCCGCACCCCACACCUCAGCUUCUUAUUGAAGAUAAAUUACAUGAGCAGGUAACAUGAUGUGGAGGUGGGCCUUCAUUUCCCAUUCUUUGUUUUUUUCAUGUUUGUUUAUUUUGAGAGAGAGCACGCAAGAAGGGAAGGGGCAGAGGUGGGGGGAGAGGGAGAAUCCCAAGCAGGCUCCACGCUGCCAUCUCAGAGCCCAACGCAGGGCUCGAACCCACAAAUCGUGAGAUUAUGACAUGAGCCGAAACCAAGAGUCGGACAGUCAAGUGACUGAGUCACCCAGGUGCCCCUCCCAUAUUCUGAACACUGUUGUUCUAUCCAGUACCGGGGCACUGCCUUCCCAGAGGAGUUUCUCAAUGUGUGGCCUGUGCAGCUGGCAUCAGAACCCGCUGGGGAACCUUGUUAAUCAUGCAGAUUCCCCACCCUGCCUCUAGAGAUUCUCAUUCAGCCACCGGGAGGGGGCCUGGGAACGUGCCUCUCUGACAAGCUCCUAAGGGACACUGAUGCUCGCCAAGGCUGAGAACAGUGGGAUCUCCAAGGCCUGGACCUGUAUGACAUCAAGGGAUAUCUACAGUUAGAUAAGGGGCACAUCUAGGGUGGUGGCCUUGACCGUGUACAUCCAGAGGCAUAAGUAAUGUCUCUUCCAUCACAUGCUCCUCUACCCUGCAAGAUUCUUUCGGCUGGUCUAGAAAUUAAGUUGACAUUAAUAGAAGAAAAAAAAAGUUCAAUAACAUGCAUACUGCCUGUAUAUGUGAGAGAGACCCACUCCCCACAAUGAUCUAAGGUAUCACUUUAAAUACCAUCUCCAGCUAAAGACAAAAGAAGGUGUUGGGGAUGAGCCUCUCAUUUAUGAGAGGCUCCCGGGGAAAGCACAGGAAGCAAGAGUAGAUUUAAGUCCAUGCUGUCUCUAUUGAUAACAGUUUCUGGAGAUUUAUUUAUCCAUCCCCCUCUUUCUGCUUGUGACAGAGAGAGACAUCCCUACAAAAGGGUGUUUCCCUUAUAUGUAUGAAUAUCUCUUACAAAAGGGUAAAUUCUCAGUUUUCAGAGCAUCUCUCAUGUCUGCAGUUUCUUAAAAAUAACCAGCUGAAAAUAAUCAGUGCGCCAAAGAGGCAUAUCUUGGGGUGGCAAGAUGUGCUCCCCUAUACCUUCCUCAGUGCUCACACUCAUCCACUGUGACUUUAGGUGCUCCAGCAAUAUUCCUGUCAAAAGUGUGUUCCAUAUAGGCCCCCUGUUCAAGAUAAACAAUUUCACUAUAAAAGACUAAUUCUGGUUAAUAAAUCAUUGUGUUUUUUAAGCUUUUCCCUUUGAUAUGUAAAUACGUACAGGAAAAGUUGUGAGCUCAAGCUUCAGAACCAUCUGCCCCCUCUGCUUACAGCUGUGUGACCGUGGAUCAAUAGCUUGCCCUCUCUGUGCUUCCAUUUCCUUUUUCGUAAAAUGGGUAUCAUAAUAACACCCACCUUUAGGACUCAGGAGGAGAUCUGAUAAAAUGGUGCAGGUUGGCCCCUCACACGCUGCCUGAGACUUAAAUGAGCUCAGUGACUAUUAGCAGUGAGUGAGUUUUCUCAGAAAACCCAGGAUCCACACCACCUCAACCUCUGGGGUUUACUGGCAAAUGAUGUCAUUCCCAGUGAAAUACCACAUCCAUUCAUUCAAUAAAUAGUAGCUGAGAACCUACUGUGUGCUAAGCUGUCCUCUGGACAAGGGAGAUGCAGCUGAGAACAAACAAGGACCCUGUUCCCAUCAUUUAUUUAAGAAAUAUCCAUGAAGUACCUACUUUGCUCCAAGGACUGUGCCAAGUGCCAGGGGAAAGCAGUGAAAAGCAGACAUAGUCUCUGUCCUGAGAGAUGAAAGUCAAGGUGGGAGAGACAUUAAGAAAUCGGGGGCUUCUGUUUGGCUCAGUAGGAACAUGCAACUCUUUUUUUUUUUUUUAAAUUUACAUCCAAGUUAGUUUGCAUAUAGUGCAGCAACGAUUUCAGGAGUAGAUUCCUUAAUGCCCCUUACCCAUUUAGCCCAUCCCCCCCCCACAGCCCCUCCAGUAACCCUCUGUUUGCUCUCUAUGAGUCUCUAGUGUAUUGUCCCCCUCCCUGUUUUGAUAUUAUUUUUGUUUCCCUUUCCUUACGUUCAUUUGUUUUGACUUUUAAAGUCCUCAUAUGAGUGAAGUCAUAUAUUUGUCUUUCUCUGACUAAUUUCACUUAGCAUAAUAGCCUCCAGUUCCAUCCACAUGGUUACAAAUGGCAAGAUUUCAUUCUUUUUGAUCGCUGAGUAAUACUCCAUUGUAUAUAUAUACCACAUCUUCUUUAUCCAUUUAUCCAUCAGUGGGCAUUUGGGCUCUUUCCAUACUUUGGCUAUUGUUGAUAGUGCUGCUGUAAACAUUGGGGUGCAUGUGUCCCUUCGAUACAGCACACCUGUAUCCCUUGGAUAACUACCUGAUAGUGCAAUUGCUGGGUCGUAGGGUAGUUCUAUUUUUAGUUUUUUGAGGAACCUCCACACUGUUUUCCAGAGUGGCUGCACCAGCUUGCAUUCCCACCAGCAGUGCAAAAGAGAUCCUCUUUCUCCGCAUCCUCGCCAACAUCUGUUGUUGCCUGAGUUGUUAAUGUUAGCCAUUCUGACGGGUGUGAGGUGGUAUCUCAUUGUGGUUUUGAUUUGUAUUUCCCUGAUGAUGAGUGAUGUGGAGCAUUUUUUCAUGUGUCGGUUGGCCAUCUGGAUGUCUUUGGAGAAGUGUCUAUUCAUGUCUUAUGCACAUUUCUUCACUGGAUUAUUUGUUUUUUGGGUGUUGCUUUUGAUAAGUUCUUUAUAGAUUUUGGAUACUAACCCUUUAUGUGAUAUGUCAUUUGCAAAUAUCUUCUCCCAUUCUGUCGGUUGUCUUUUAGUUUUGCUGAUUGUUUCCUUUGCGGAGCAUGCAACUCUUGAUCUCGGGGUUUUGAGUUUGAGCUCCAUGUUAGUUGCAGAGAGUACUUAAAAAUAAAACUUGGAAAAAAAAAGAAAAGAAACAGUUAUAAUCAAUCAGAUUGCACUUGUGGUGGGAAAGACAGGGUGCACUGCUUAGACAUGGUAUUCUUUCCUUCAAUCGAUAAGCUGACAGUAAUGCAUAAGCAUUGUUCAUACUCUGGAUGAAAGAAACACAAGAUACUUGCUAUAUUCCAUGUCCUGACAGAGCUUAGAGCUCUCAGUCAGAGACUGCUGAAUGCAUGAAAAAAAUAAGCAGCAACAGAAGAGGCAUCUUCGGGAAAUAUGUGCUCAAAAGCUGAAAAAAGUGGAUAAACUCACGGGCAGCAUGUGGACAGAGGACAGAGGAAGAGGUCCAAUCCCCAACCCCCAUUCAUUCAGCGUCUAGCUUCAAACCCUCUCAUGCUAUUUGCAGUCACUCCCUGCUCCCAGCCACAACUACAGGCAACCACUAAUCUGCUUUCUGUCCUUCCAGAUUCGCCUUUUCCAGA
rnacentral:lncRNA from 1 species